ACCGAGCCAGAGAAGAAACGGAGUGCGAUGAUGAACUCCAAGCCAUCUCAGUUCCUCGCGACACUUUGAGAUCGAGAGAGGAAUCCAGAAGAAUCGAGUAAUGGCAGAGAGGCGUGGCGGAGGAUAGGAUGUUGUCCUCCGAUGGUUCUGUUCGGGUCGGAGCGGAUCCAAUUGGUCCGGGUCAUCGUCCCCGUCGAGUCCCGCUCACCCUCACCUUCUCCUGCCUCGGCGACCUCGGCCUCCUCCACAAAAAGUCCCGUUCCAAAGGUCUUGUGCUGCUCUAGUACAGACGCCUUCGUCAUUAACAGUUAAAUAUCAUACUUCUCUACUUUGAUUUCCUUCACUUCAUUUUGUAUUUUCUAGCAAUUGAUGUCCGUUAAAUAAAAAAUUUCUGGGUUAAGCUGUUAGAAACUUUAGUCUAAGAUUCUGAUACUACGUAUUAACUUUGGUCUAAGAUUCAUGUGUCUUCCUUUCUCUCUCACAGCAAGUUGGUCUAAGAUUCUGGUACCACUAUCGAUGCUGGACAUGCAUUUGCAUCUUGAUGUAGACAAUUGGAAAUCAAUAUGAGCAGCGGAGCCACUUGGUAGGCCUAGUUAUUAUUAUGAUAUGCAUUAUUAUGUUGUUAGCAAGCUUUAAUAAUAUUGUAUCGGAAGUAUCUCGUUAUACAUCGGCCACAGUUUACUGACUGAA